rnacentral:lncRNA from 1 species
CUUCCCCAUCCACUCUCCUUACCUUGGCUUUGCACAACUGUACAGCCUCACAGAUUUCAAUAGUGGGCCGUGUACAGUGGUGCCCCGCAAGACGAACGCCUCGCAAGACGGAAAACCCGCUAGACGAAAGGGUUUUCCGUUUUGGAGGCGCUUCGCAAAACGAAUUUCCCUAUGGGCUUCCUUCGCAAGACGAAAGCCCAUAGGGAAAUCUCCGGGACAGCGGGGAAGCGCAGCGCGUCUUCCCCCCUGUCCUCGGACCUCCUCCGAAGGCUGGCGGCGGGGCGGAGAGACCUCCUCCCGCCGCCAGCCUUCGGAAGGCUGCUCCGAAGGCUGGCGGCGGGAGGAGGUCUCUCCGCCCUACCAGCAGCCUUCGGAAGGCUGCUCCGAAGGCUGGCGGCGGGGCGGAGAGCCUCCCGGGCAGCGACGGUCACGUCGGGGAGGGCCCUCCGUGGGCCGGCCGGAGACUGGCGUUCAGGCGGAGCGGCAGCCUCCCCUUCCCCGCGUUCGUCCGGCAUUGCGUCGCCCUCGCUUAGCGACCCGAUCCGUUUGCGGUGCCCACUCCCAGGCGGCGCCGCCUCCGCUGCCUCCCGCCCCCAUCUAUCCGCGGCCCUGCCGCGCCGACAGCUUCCCCUCGCCCGCCGCCGCCCGGCGUCGGGGUGGGGUCCAGGGGCCCUCCGAGCCGGAGACGAUGGCGCGGCUGCUGUGCGCCUGCUGUCCCUUCAGCGUCCGCGUCCUCCCGGCGCCCGCUCGUCUCCGAGAGUGCAUCCUUCUCUCGCUGUUCUGAAUGUUGGCGGUGGGGGGGGGGCGAAACCCUCCUCCCACCACAAGCCCCGGGAACAGAGGACAAGCGCUGCGCGCCUUCCCCGCUGUUCCCGUACCUGUCCUGAAGGCUUGCGGUGGGGAGAAAAGCCCUUCUCCGCACCGCCAGCCUGGCAAGCGGUCUCCAUAGGAACGCAUUAAUUGGUUUUCAAUGCAUUCCUAUGGGAAACCGUGCUUCGCAAGACGAAAAACUCGCAAGAAGAAAAAACUUGCGGAACGAAUUAAUUUCGUCUUGCGAGGCACCACUGUAUUACAUUAUGGAUCUGCUGGAUAUACAACAACCACUUUAAUACAAGCAUUCAAAUAACGUCUCUUACCCCAUAU